rnacentral:rRNA from 1 species
AUUGAACGCUGGCGGCAGGCCUAACACAUGCAAGUCGAACGAGUGGCGGACGGGUGAGUAAUGUCUGGGAAACUGCCUGAUGGAGGGGGAUAACUACUGGAAACGGUAGCUAAUACCGCAUACCAUCGGAUGUGCCCAGAUGGGAUUAGCUAGUAGGUGGGGUAAUGGCUCACCUAGGCGACGAUCCCUAGCUGGUCUGAGAGGAUGACCAGCCACACGGGAACUGAGACACGGUCCAGACUCCUACGGGAGGCAGCAGUGGGGAAUAGUGCACGAUGGGCGCAAGCCUGAUGCAGCCGUGCCGCGUGUAUGAAGAAGGCUGUCGGGUUGUAAAGUACUUUCAGCGGGGAGGCGUUACUCGCAGAAGAAGCAUCGGCUAACUCCGUGCCAGCCGCCGCGGUAAUUC